rnacentral:lncRNA from 1 species
CGCUUCUCCAGCCUGGCUUCAGGAAGACCGUGAGCAAACACAGACCAGACGGGGCUGAGGCCAGCAGCUGGGCAGGGAGCCACGCUGGCCUCAUGCUGUCCCCACAAAGGGCUCCUGUCCCCUGGGCUGGGGAUGGUGUCACAGCUUCCUGAGCAGUGUCGUCUCGGCUCCCGGAACUCCUGGUAUCAAUUCCCUGUGUACCUCCAUGGACUCAGCGCCAUCUCAGAAGUGAGGGCGGAGGGAAGGAACCUUCUAGAAGGAGGAGUUUGCUGCAGAACAUCCAGAGCCCACAGCACUGAGUCGUCUCCAUGCCCCUUGCCUGUGGUUCUCUGUAGCACAUGGCAGGGGGGUGGGUGGUGCAGCACCUCCUUCUGAUGCGUUGAGUGUCAGCACUGCAAGGUCCCCUACCCCAUGCCCAGUGCCCAGUGCCCAGUCCCGUGGGAGCUCCUCAUUUGGGGCAGAGACCAGGGCAGAGGCAGCGAGGGCUCCUCUCCUCCCUCACUCAGGGGCUACAGGCUGGUCACUUGAGCUCUCUGGAAAUCAGUCUCCUCAUCUGGAAAACGGGGCUCAUCCUGACCUUGUGAUGGGCAUGAGGUGAUGGUAUCAGAUAAUGUGCGCGAACGACCCUGUAAAUCAUAAAUUGGUUGCAGUUUCUCUCCAGCGACACCCUAGUACACUUUGGAGCCUGGUGAACUUGAGUUUGCAUGCCAGCUCCUGACCUCCUAUGGCCCACGUCCUCACUGGAGGAUGGGCUCUGGAGGCUGGAGGGCUGGUGGAAGAGGAAGUGAGAUGGCAGUUCGCUGGCUUCUGCAUCAGGCCCCAACUGUACCCUGGGCCUCCCAGGCUUGCACGUGCCUCCUCACAGCUUCCCUUGAACAUCCUGUAUCAUCCAGCAGCCCUAAACCGUGUGAUUUUUUCCUCUGGGAGGUGACAGCCUGGACCAGAAGUUGAAACCUGGCCCCAGGGUAUGGUGUGCCCCACUGUCAGAGGGACCUCAGAUGAGCCACUAAGCCUCUCUCUGCCUCAGUUUCCUUAUCUAAAAUGGGU